rnacentral:rRNA from 1 species
GGAUUAGAUACCCUGGUAGUCCACGCUGUAAACGAUGAGUGCUAGAUAUUGGGACCGCUAGGUUUCAGUGUCGCAGCUAACGCAUUAAGCACUCCGCCUGGGGAGUACGAUCGCAAGAUUAAAACUCAAAGGAAUUGACGGGGACCCGCACAAGCGGUGGAGCAUGUGGUUUAAUUCGAUGCUACGCGAAAAACCUUACCAACCCUUGACAUGGUAGUCAUAGGCAUAAGAGAUUAUGCUGUCAGCUAGGCUGGACUACGCACAGGUGUUGCAUGGCUGUCGUCAGCUCGUGUCG